GGAGCUGUGCCUGAACAAAGGGUCACUUUGAUAGAGUGAAACAUGGGGGUUAAAAUCCCCCCAACUCCU
rnacentral:tRNA from 1 species